AAUUUUGGACAAUGGGGGAAACCCUGAUCCAGCCAUCCUGCGUGUGUGAUGAAGGCCUUCGGGUUGUAAAGCACUUUUGACAGGGAAGAAAUAGCAGGGGCUAAUAUCCUCUGUGAAUGACGGUACCUGCAGAAUAAGCACCGGCUAACUACGUGACAGCAGACGGGGUAAUACGUAGGUUGCAAUCGUUAACCGGAAUUACUGGGCGUAAAGUGUACGCAGGCGGAUAGGAAAGAAAGAUGUGAAAUCCCAGGGCUCCACCUUGGAGCUGCAUUUUUAACUACCUAGCUAGAGUAUGUCAGAGGGGGGUAGAAUUCCACGUGUAGCAGUGAAAUGCGUAGAGAUGUGGAGGAAUACCGAUGGCGAAGGCAGCCCCCUGGGAUAAUACUGACGCUCAGGUACGAAAGCGUGGGGAGCAAACA
rnacentral:rRNA from 1 species